GACGAACGCUGGCGGCGUGCCUAAUACAUGCAAGUUGAGCGCUGAAGGUUGGUACUUGUACCAACUGGAUGAGCAGCGAACGGGUGAGUAACGCGUGGGGAAUCUGCCUUUGAGCGGGGGACAACAUUUGGAAACGAAUGCUAAUACCGCAUAAAAACUUUAAACACAAGUUUUAAGUUUGAAAGAUGCAAUUGCAUCACUCAAAGAUGAUCCCGCGUUGUAUUAGCUAGUUGGUGAGGUAAAGGCUCACCAAGGCGAUGAUACAUAGCCGACCUGAGAGGGUGAUCGGCCCAAUUGGGACUGGGACACGGCCCAAACUCCUACGGGAGGCGGCAGUAGGGAAUCUUCGGCAAUGGACGAAAGUCUGACCGAGCAACGCCGCGUGAGUGAAGAAGGGUUUCGGAUCGUAAAACUCUGUUGGUAGAGAAGAACGUUGGUGAGAGUGGAAAGCUCAUCAAGUGACGGUAACUACCCAGAAAGGGACGGCUAACUACGUG
rnacentral:rRNA from 1 species